CAACCUAACAUUAGAAUUAUCUGCUGGAACGUGCGUGGUCUCGACACGCCUACCCAUUGUGACGCCCUUUGUGAGUCUAGAGCCACUAUUGUGUGCGUUCAGUAAGCGAAGCUUGAGAUUGUGGACGACCCUAUGAUCUCGAGCAUGCUUGGCCCCUCAUUUGCUGCAAAUUACUUCGUCCUUCCGGCCGUGGGCACAAGGGGUGGCAUGAUCAUGGCAGUGUCGGAUAAUUACUUGAAGCUAUCCGACUGCCAAGCCACGCCGGGCACGACCGCUGUAGUCACCAUGCUCGGCGAAGGCAUGGAAUGGACGCUUGCAUCCGUCUAUGGCCCCUAGUGGGUAUCCGACAAGAUGAUCUUCACCGACGAGCUGAGAGGCCUCAAGCCUUUGGUAUGACCUUGCUAGCUCAUCCUCGGUGAUUUCGACCUCAUGACCAAGGCAUCAGACAAAAACAACCAAAACGUCAACAGAUGUCUGCUUGGCCACUUCCAUGCAGUGCGGGACCAUCUGCAACUCAAAUAA
rnacentral:rRNA from 1 species